CUUGGAUGGAAGUACUCUCCGUUUGUUGUUAGAAGACGAGGAUGAUUUUGCCAUGUUAGUAGAAAAUCUAUUCAUUGAUUUAGAAUCUUAGAUGCCAAAUAUAAGGGGAAAAUCAGAAAGAGUGAAAUUCGGAAUGCUCUAAACGAAAGAUGAAUUUUCUAUGACCCUCAAGCGUAAGAUGUAAAGCGUGACAGUCCUGUUAUCAAAACAAAAAAAAAGCGUGACAGUCCAUUUGUUCCUAUUUCAUCUUCUGUAAGAUAUAAUUUGCUUUAUCCAUGUCACUUUUUCCUGUCAUGAGAAUAUGUUUCUGCCCUAUCCUCACUUUUUGUUUUUUAUACUGUGAAUAAUUUUAGAUUAUAUAGAGGCAAGUAAUAUAUUAUAACAGUAA